rfam:Canis lupus familiaris chromosome 27, whole genome shotgun sequence.
GCCUGAGUAGCUCAGAGGUUGAGCAUCUGCCUUUGGCUCAGAUCAUGGUCCUGGGGUCCUGGGAUCGAGUCCCACAUCAGGCU